rnacentral:rRNA from 1 species
AUCGCACGCCGCGUGAGGGAUGACGGCCUUCGGGUUGUAAACCUCUUUUACCAGGGAAGAAGCGGACGUGACCGGGCCUGCAGAAUCCGGCUAAGUCCGUGCCAUGCCCCGCGGUAAUACGUAGGGUGCAAGCGUUAUCCGGAAUUAUUGGGCGUAAGAGCUCGUAGGCGGUUUGUCGCGUCUGCUGUGAAAUCCCGAGGCUCAACCUCGGGCCUGCAGAGGGUACGGGCAGACUAGAGUCCGGUAG